rnacentral:rRNA from 1 species
CGGGAGGCAGCAGUGGGGAAUAUUGGACAAUGGGCGAAAGCCUGAUCCAGCGAUGCCGCGUGUGUGAAGAAGGCCUGCGGGUUGUAAAGCACUUUCAGUGGGGAGAAGAGGCCGAUGCCUAAUAUGCAUCGACGGAGAUGUUACCCACAGAAGAAGCACCGGCUAACUCUGUGCCAGCAGCCGCGGUAAUACAGAGGGUGCGAGCGUUAAUCGGAAUUACUGGGCGUAAAGGGUGCGUAGGUGGUUGAAUUAGUUAGGUGUGAAAUUCCUGGGCUUAACCUGGGGACUGCGCCUAAUACUGUUCAGCUAGAGUAUUGUAGAGGAAAGUGGAAUUUCCGGUGUAGCGGUGAAAUGCGUAGAUAUCGGAAGGAACAUCAGUGGCGAAGGCGACUUUCUGGACAAAUACUGACACUGAGGCACGAAAGCAUGGGGAGCAAACAGGAUUAGAUACCCCAGU